rnacentral:rRNA from 1 species
GACGGUAGGGCGCGAGCGUUGUCCGGAAUUAUUGGGCGUAAAGAGCUUGUAGGCGGUCUGUCGCGUCUGCUGUGAAAAUCCGGGGCUCAACCCCGGACUUGCAGUGGGUACGGGCAGACUAGAGUGUGGUAGGGGAGACUGGAAUUCCUGGUGUAGCGGUGAAAUGCGCAGAUAUCAGGAGGAACACCGAUGGCGAAGGCAGGUCUCUGGGCCACUACUG